UAUAGAUGGGUGCCUGGCAACCAGCAUGUACCACCAGGAGGUUGUGGAGGAGAACCCAUCCUUUUCCAAAGCCAAGGAGGGGAAAGGCAGAAGAGAGGUAGAAGGUGUCUCCUGAGCCCUCAAAUUGAAGACUCACUACAAUGUCUCGUGUCAUCCCACUAGCCUGGGAUUCACCAAGGAACACUGGCCUCCGAGUUGUAUGCACUGUCCCUGCUCAUCCACCCUUCUGGAUCCCAGGAAAAUUGGAAGAUGUCACACAAGGUUCUCAAAAUCCCUCAACUGUGGUCUCCAUGUUCUCAGGACCUGACCAGUUCUAACAGAAAUGUGAACUUACUCUAGAUAUGUCCCCUCCCUGCCUCACUCUUCUGAUCUAGUGUUUUAAGCACAGAAAGCCCUGAGACACAGGGUAGAAAAUGAGAAGGAAGAAGCCUGCUUAAAUGGGUCAGCAGGCCCACAAGAAGGGGACUUGAGAACCAGUCCAUUUACCGGCCCUUAAAAUCAUCACAAGAAUGUCCAUUACAUCCCCCUUCAAGGUA